GCUACUUCAGGCUGCAGCGGCAAAGAGCCAUCCUCUAUAAGCGGCUCAAAGUACCUCCUGCCAUCAACCAGUUCACCCAGGCCCUGGACAGGCAAACAGCGACUCAGCUGCUUAAGCUUGCCCACAAGUACAGGCCAGAGACAAAGCAGGAGAAGAAGCAAAGGCUGCUGGCUCGUGCUAAGAAGAAAGCUGCUGACAGACGGGACCUCCCAACUGAGAGACCACCUGUCCUCCGAGCAGGGGUCAAUACAGUCACCACCUUGGUGGAGAACAAGAA
rnacentral:lncRNA from 1 species